rnacentral:lncRNA from 1 species
CUAGGACAGUUUCAUUAUCUGCAUGAACUGGUGAUGUGGGCAUUGCUGUAGAAGAGAAAGCAAGCAAAGGGUUUUCAAGCUGCAUCCCCUGCCUGUGUGACACAGAUGGACAUUGCCAGCAGAAAUGGUUCACGAGAGGAAGAGGAUUUCCGUUCAUCUUUCCAACUGAAGUUGAGGUCCUAUGAGUGCAUGGACAUUGGAAGCCAUAUGUGUUUGGAUGUUGACCAUGGAGAUGAACCACAGGCUCACCCCUGAGCCACCAGAGAGAGAAAUAUGUAUGGCUGACUACUUGCUAACCUUACAUCAGGAUAUACAAUCUGUUUACACACAUUUAACAUGGCUGAACACCUUGCCACACCCAUUCACCAGGCACCAGUGCUUGUGUUUUGCUGAAGCUGAGAUACUUGCAGGAUGGAUGUGUGUGUGUGUGUGUGUGUGUGUGUGUGUGUGUGUGUGUGUAUGUAUGUGUGUGUGUGUGUGUUGAGCUCUGUGAUCAAUCAAUAGAAUUGACAAGGCAGGGCAGAGCCUCCAUAGAAUAGAAAAAGAUGAGAGGUGGGAGGGGUCGCUCUGGAGAACCCACUUCAGCCUGUGUAUUGUCUGGUGCUUGUCUUUGAGGGCCCCAAGCCAUUUGCUUGUGUUCAUUUCACAUACGACUCACUUCCGGGAAGAUCAGCCUGCUCCUACUCAAUGAAUCCCAAAACAUGGGAUGCUUCCUUCUGUGAUGUCCCUCGCUAUUAUGGAAUAGGGCCUGAGAAGACAACGGUGAACCCCGCUUUGGCUCGUAUGAGGCAUCAUGGUACAGAGUGGAGGUAGUCACAGGGAGUAAGAAAACGUAGGCAGGUCAUGCUGAGUUGUGGAGGGUGCUCAGAUCUCCAUGGUGUCCAGUCAUUUUAGGGUAGAACUCCAG